rnacentral:lncRNA from 1 species
GGGAACUUGCUUAGCGAUCCAAAGUUAGACCCCUGUAUAACGAAUAGUCCCUAUUGACUGUGCUCUUAAUAAGCGGUCCAUUGACAUAUGAAAUCUCAUAAGGAGACCAAAAUACCCCUAACCUUUUUCCUCUUCCGUCGUUCCUCGUAUGCUAUGUGUUCAUUUGAACGAGCCCUAUUCAAAGUUCACCAAUUCCAGCCCUCGUUCGUCCCCAAUCUUCGUAUCCUAAUCCUCUCUUACGACGG